AGCGAAGUACAGCAGGCCAGGCAGAUCAGAGGAGCAGGAAAGUUAACAUUUCAGUCGGGAUCCUUUGUCAGAAAUGACUGAUCUGUGGUCUAACUCCAUGAGGUGAACGAUGGCUGGUAGAUAUCAUAAAAGAUGAAGUCGCCAUCGUCCCAGAGGACCGUAGGGCUACUCUGUCAUUGGAGACAGACAACUGGUGAUGUUGCAAGUUGUGAAUUUGAAUUGGAUAUGUCAGAAACUAUUCAUAAAUGAAUCAGCCACCCUGCGCCUCUUACAAAACAGUGGAAGAAUUGAGAAAAAGGAAGAAGAAAUCUUUGGAUCAGCAAGGACAAUCCCAACAGAUCUUGUGAAAAAAGACUACAGAACUGUUUUCCCAGUUUUCCAUCCAGCUGUGUUUUUUUUUCCCUUGUGUAUGUUUGUCUGUCUGUGAGUGUGUAAGUGGGAGUUUAUAAAGUGUUUAGUAUUUUAAUUUGCAGAGUUUAUUUAAUUUAACU